AUCCAGCUGACGAGUUCCAAAUAGGACAAAACGCGCGCCCUGGAU
rnacentral:hammerhead_ribozyme from 1 species